rfam:Colletotrichum sublineola strain TX430BB Scaffolds1467.1, whole genome shotgun sequence.
GGCUGGCUGGCCAAAUGGUAAGGCGUCGGACUCCUAUCAAGAAUGCAAUCCGAAGAUUCUGGGUUCGAGUCCCAGGUUGGUCG